rnacentral:rRNA from 1 species
AGCGAACGCUGGCGGCAGGCCUAACACAUGCAAGUCGAGCGGAACCUUCGGGAUUAGUGGCGGACGGGUGAGUAACACGUGGGAACGUGCCCUUUGGUUCGGAACAACUCAGGGAAACUUGAGCUAAUACCGGAUGUGCCCUUCGGGGGAAAGAUUUAUCGCCAUUGGAGCGGCCCGCGUCUGAUUAGCUAGUUGGUGAGGUAAAGGCUCACCAAGGCGACGAUCAGUAGCUGGUCUGAGAGGAUGAUCAGCCACAUUGGGACUGAGAUACGGCCCAAACUCCUACGGGAGGCAGCAGUGGGGAAUCUUGCGCAAUGGGCGAAAGCCUGACGCAGCCAUGCCGCGUGAAUGAUGAAGGUCUUAGGAUUGUAAAAUUCUUUCACCGGGGACGAUAAUGACGGUACCCGGAGAAGAAGCCCCGGCUAACUUCGUGCCAGCCGCCGCCGUAACAC